rnacentral:rRNA from 1 species
GACGAGGGUUCCUAGCGUUGUUCGGAAUCAUUGGGCGUAAAGCGGGUGUAGGCGGCCACGUAAGUCAGAAGUGAAAGCCCUGGGCCCAACCCGGGAAGUGCUUUUGAUACUGCAUGGCUUGAGUGCUAGAGAGGUCAGUAGAAUUCCUGGUGUAGUGGUGAAAUACGUAGAUAUCAGGAGGAAUACCGGAGGGGAAGCCGGCUGACUGGCUAGACACUGACGCUCAGACCCGAAAGCGUGGGGAGCAAACAGG